rnacentral:lncRNA from 1 species
AAAUUAAAGAAAUGCAUGAAUAUUAUGGAAACACCAAUACAUUGGAAAGUUCUUAUGGAAACCACGACACAUGGAAACCACUUGGGGUUAGCUAAUACUUAUGUAAACCACAGAUAUUUGACACUUCUAAUGGAAAAUGCGAAACAUUGUAUAAUUUCGCGCGUAAACCACAAUAAAUUAGGUAAUUCUUAUGGAAAAUACAAAGCAUAUUAUAGUGCCUGUGAAAACUUCCAGCAGCUUUAUAAAGCUUAUGAACACAACAAGAUAUUGGAUUAUUAUCAUGAAAACCAUGAGACAUUGAAACCAGGAGGCAUUAAAUACCACUUAUGGAUAUGGUGAGAGAUUGGAUAGUUCUUGCGGAAAACAAGAUACAAAGAAUAACUAUAAUGGAAAUCACAAGACAUUAGAUCAGGCUUACUGAAAUCACGAGACAUUAGAUUAUUCUUUAUUGAACCCACAAUACAUAAGACAAUUCUUAGGGAAACCAGGAAGCAUUUCAUACUUCAUAUGGAAAUCAAAAAACUUAGCAUAAUGCUUAUCGAAACAACGAAUUAUUUGAUUAUGCUCAUAGAAACCACAAGAUAUUUGAAAACUCUUAUUGAAACCAUAGGAAACUGGAUAUCUUUUAUACAUUGGAUAAUUCUUAUGGAAACAACAAAAUGUUUCUUAAAUCGUGUGGAAACUAGAGUAGACAAUGUUUACGAAGCGGAAAACAUCACAAAAUGCGUUAGAAUCCACGAAACAUUUGAUACUGCUUAUGAAAACCUCACGAUCUUACACAAAUAUUAUGGAAACCACGAGACAUUGUAAACAGUUAUGGAAACCACGAGAUUUAUCUUGAUUCUCAUGGAAACCAUAAGAUACUAGAUAAUUCACACACACAACAAAUCAAACCAUAAACAAUGUUUAAAGAAACAAUGAGAUAUUCAAUAAGUCUUAUGGAAACAACAUAUUAUUAGAUAAUUCUUUAAUAAGGUAACCAUGAGACAUUGGAAAAUGCUUACGACCACAAGACUUUGAUAAUGAUGAUAUAAUUUAUUCAUGUUGUUGGUUUUAAUGUCACAUCGACACAAUCAUACGUCAUAUGACGACUUUUAAUGGUGGAGGUAAGAAACUAGGCGCCAGUCCGGGUAUUAUUUGAGGCGGGCAUCUGGCCUUCCGUAAGCCAGCUAGAUGGCGUCCUCACAUAAAAGAAUUCUACUUCACUGGCGAGGUAUUUGAUAAUGCUGUUGGAAACAGAGACAUUUAAGAUACUUUUAUGGAUAUCAUGAGACACUGGAUAAUUAAAAUGAAAAUCACGAGAUAUUGGAUAAUAUCUACGGAAAUCACGAGGCAUUAAAUAAUUCCUACGGAAAGUACGAGACAUUUGAUAAUGCUUAUGGAAACCAAGAGACAUUGGUUAUUGCUUAUGGAAUCUACGAGAUAUUCAUUAAUGCUUGCAAACCUCAAAAUUAAGAAAAAUGCUUAUAGAAACCAGGAGUUAUUUUCAUAAUACUUAUGGAAUCCACCAGUCAAUGGAUGAACAUGAGACAUUGGAUUGUUUUGGAAACCAAGAGAUAUAUAAUUAUGCUUAUAUUCCACAAAACGUAGCAUGAUGCUUAUGAAAACCACGAGACAUAUGAUAAUGCUUACUUUAGAUACGAACCAGGAUACAUUGAAUAAUUUUAUGAAAGCUACGAAAUAUUGGAUAAUUCAUAAGGAAACAACGAGGCAUUGAAUAUUUCAUGUGGAACCACGAGAUAUUAGAUAACGCAUACAGACCACAAAAAUAGUUCUCCCCGUACUUGGAUUCAGUGUUGUUAUAUUUUCUGGUCCUUUGGUGUCAUGGAGUCCAUUGAACAUAUGUGUAAUAGAGUUCCGCUUAAGCCGGUGCUAGGAGGCGGAGAGGUGUUGCACAUUUCAUUACCUCUCAUGAACAGACUCAAUAAAACAGAGUCUGCUAUUAUUCUUCUUUGUUGCAUUCUUUGCUUCCAAAGGAUCUUUUUACAGAUUUUAUUAAUGCUUAUGGACACCACGAGACAUUUCAUAAUGCUUAUUGAAACAGCGAAACUUUAGAAACGAACCAUAAUAAAUUGGAUAGUUUUAUAGAAACAACGAGAUAUUUGAUAAUUCGUUUGGAAACAACGAGGCUUUGAAUAUUUCCUGUGGAAACCACGAUAUAUUAUAUAAUGCAUACAGACCAAAUUAAAAUAGUAUAAUGGUUAUGGAGACCACGAGACAUUUGAUGAUAUUGAUGGAAAUGCACAAGACGUUUGAUAAUGCGUACGACACCAAGAGACUUUAGUAUUUUCGUGAUCUUGUACAUUUCCCAUUAAAUAACAUAUAUUAAGAAAGACCACGGUCUUUGACUAUCGGAUGUUAUAUAAGAUAAUAGGUAAAGAUAGAUUUCUCGGAAGCACAGAGCACUACAAACACAGCCUCAGUGCCACGCAUUUGCAAAGUAGGCCCACAACAAAAAGAAGCUGUAACGGAAAAAUAUUACAGACGGGUUGCUUCAAAAAUAAGUCAUACAGAAUCAGCAAAUAAUGACUGGUGCAUGGCCUUAGAGGGAAAUAUUCUUAGGGGAAGUGGUGUGUGUAUAUGUGUACAUGGCAAAGUUGUCUCAUGGCUGUCCCUUUUAAAAGGGACAACACUUUAAUAAAUAUACACCUUAUGUAUACUUUGUAUCAUGAAAACAAAAAUAUACAAGGCAUAGUUAAUUGGAAGACUGGAUAUAUUUACCUUUUUUUAUACAGCUUGUUUUAAGCAAAACCAGACAGUACUAGUACUCUUAUUCAAGUUUGUAUAAUGUAUCCAAAAGUUCUCCUUGGUCUCUGAUGGAUCGGCUUUGAUCUGAGGUAAAUGUGACACUUAGAGUAUGCGCGUCUGCACAUAACAAAUCAAACCAUGUGAUUUAUAAAUAAUGGUUGCAUGGUAUUAGAUUGUAUGUAAUGCAUAGGCUCACAGUGGUGCAAAUGUGGCAAAUGCAGAUUUUACAUUUCGUAAUAGUUUUAUCAGCAAUUGGGAAGUGACUUAGAUGUUUAGUUUGCAAAAACGACAGAUUUUUGUUUUCUACUUUUUAAUUGUUUUCUGGUAAAGAGAAACUGGAAUGACAAGACAGCCUUAUCUUUCUAAAGCAUAACUUAGAAAAAGCAUUAAGGUACCUUAACAUUGCACCAUUGAUAUAACAACUGAUUUAGGAAUGCUAAAAUGUACCAAGAAAAGGAUUGUGUAAUGUUCCCUUUUUAUCUUUUGUUUACAUAACAUAUAUAACUACAUCAUGGGCUUCCUAUAAUAUGCACAUAUAGCCGCAAAAUCACUUUACAAUUUAGAUGAAGCAUGGCCUUCUGAUUAAAAUUACAUAUUCUACUACAGCAUGACCUUCCACCAGCAUGACAUUUCCACAGCAUGAAUUCUGUAUUCAAAUUACAUGUUUUACCACAGUAUAACCUUCGUAUUUGAAUAAUAUGUAUUAUCACAGCAUGACCUAUAUAUAUGUACCUAUUCAAAUUACAUGUUUUGCCACAGUAUGGCACUCGUAUUUAAAUAACAUGUGUUCCCGCAGUAUGACCACCCUAUUUAAAUAGCAUGUAUCAUCAAAUUUAGAUAACAUGCAUUACCUUCCUAUUUAAAUAAUAUGUAUUGCCGCAGCAUGACUUUCCUAUUUAAAUAACAUGUAUAACCGCAGCAUGAUCUUCCUGUUUAAAUAACAUGUAUUGCCGCAGCAUGACCUUCCUAUUUAAAUAACUUGUAUUGCCGCAGCAUUACCUUCCUAUUUAAGUAACAUGUAGUACCGCAGCAUGACCUUCCUAUUUAAAUAACAUGUAUUGCCGCAGCAUUACCUUCCUAUUUAAGUAACAUGUAGUACCGCAGCAUGAUCUUCCUAUUUAAGUAAACAUGUAUUACCGCAAUAUGACCUUCCUAUUUAAAUAACAUAUAUUUCCACAGCAUGACUUUCGCAUAUCUUAAUAACAUGUAUAAUCAAAGCAGAUUGCACAUUGUACUAAAGAUAAACUUCAACAAUACGCGCCGGUAAUCCAAGGUCGCUCUUUCUCAUUUUUUUUCAAUAUUCACACUUGGUGUAACAUAACAUCAUUUUUUUAUGUCGAGACAUGCUAUCGAGCAGACGACACAAGCGUUUCAUAAAAAAACUAUCAUCUUACGAUUGAUAACAGCUAUUGCACUUCAUGCCUUUUAACUUAAAAAACUCCGAAUAAUACUGACAAGUACAUGAUUUAACUAUAUUUAACAGACGUCUAUUUGCUAGUACGUUGCUGCAGUAUCGAAUAAAUGUUACAUGGACAAAAAAGUGUAAAAUAGAAACUUUGUCCCAGUUGAAAAUCCAAACGGCCUAAUUGUUACAUGCAUGUGCAGCGAUAGUUAAUCUCAAUCGAGUGCAUUUUCGUGCACAUUCGUAUCUGCGCAGUAUAAUCAUGCAUUGCGCAAUCAUGAAAUGUUUUAAUUUCUGUAUGUCAUAGUGUUUGGUUGAUAUAAAGUUGUUGGAACUCAUGUUCUACUAAUCAUUUUGUUAUUACCUUCUGUCAUGGAUUACAUAUUCAAAUUAAGGAAUAUAUACAAACUUACUGGAAAUAAUUAGCACGACUGUGAGGGUUAUAAAAUCAGAGUUUCUGUGGUACCUAAGGCCGCUGAAGACUUGAACUCGAGCGAUACAUUACCUAUAAAAGAUUUCGACAACAAUCUACUCCAGUGCCAUCACACGGGUAAAGGGAAACAAUUCAUUACUCUUAUGUACGGAAUUAUGCGUUAACAACUUGAGCAGACAUCAUUCUGUCAAAAAGUGUUUUCAACGUGACUUCUCCAUGCCUAUCACUUAGCUUCUUCCACCGGACAACAUAUUUCCUGGUGAUGUCACGACCCGGAAGUGAUAUACCCGUGGUUUUCUUAUCUCGCCUGGAUGUAAAUUCCCAGAGCUGCGGGUCUACGUCCAGUGGUUGUGACUUAACCGUCAAGAUGUUGAUCUUUCUAAACGACUGAGAUCGCUCAGGGAUACAAAAACCGGAUACGGGGAACCAGAAUGGGGUCAACUUCUUCGCGAUUUGAUGGGACAUUAUUUUAUAUAGUGUUAAAUCCUUAACAUGCUAGUUAAUUGGAUCUUAAAUAUUUGUGGAACGUCACUAUGAAACUGGAUUAGAGAUCUCGGACUCAAACAUCUUUUAUUACAAACCAUUAGACAUUGAGCUCAACAUUUUCUCUUUUUUUUUCUUUUCAUAAAAAUAAUUGUAAAUAUUUAUUUUUGUAAAUAAACUUGUUAAUAUUGUAAUGAGUGUUAAAUUGUUCGUAUAAGUUCUGUCCAUGGUUCGACCAUCCUGUCACACAACUCCUUCUACACUGUAAGCCUGCUUUGCUUUAAACUUUCACAGAUAAACAACCUUGAUAUGCAAAUUACCACACAGAAAGGAUUUUUUCUUUGACGAUUUUUUACUGCAGUUAUGGCCCUUUUAUAGUUCUGCUAUAUAGAAUAUAGAGAAGAAUCUUGUGUAUCCAACUUUUCAAACAAUAUUGAAAGGAUAUGCUUAAAUUGUCACAGAUGAAGGACCUUCAUGUGAAGAUGACCAUAAAUAAUGGACUUUUUCUGUUUCUAUGUUUUCUAGAAUUAUGGCCCUUUCUUAAUAAGAACUUUGCUGUUUAGAGGUUGGAGCUGUACGCGCGGGAAUCCGUGUGCUAUGGACACAAUUCUCGUUUUAUACUGCAUUGUAAAUCUUCACUCUGGUUAUAACUAUCUUUCACGAUAAACCUGUGUAUUUUGAAAGUAAAAAAAAAACCUUGAUAUACACAAUAAUGAAUUACUUGAACAUACUUUUGUUAUCCAUAUCAAUAAAUGUGUAUUUGUGUAGACCAGUUUAGAAACUGACACAGGCCUAUAGAAGUCCUACUUUUCGGAGGAAAAUGUGUGACAUGGAAGGUUUGUGACGAUAAUUCAACUUUAACGAGCUGUUUAUGUAGUGGAAGUCUGCAGUGCUGCAUGUAUGCAGGCGGACACUGCCUAUAAUACCCACUGCCAAAAGGUGUGUGGUUACAGACUUUUGUGUGAGGUUUUGAAAGUUAGGUAGGCGACUCUAGGCCGAGAAGCUCAGAAAACUGUUUACUGCCUCCUGAGUUCAGAGAGAGAGAAAAUAUAGCUGCUCUGGUCCCAAUCAGUUAAAACGACCAAUAUGUCACGGGUGAUUUGAGAGACAUGAUAAAAACCCCAGAGAUUUGAGUAUAUAUGCAAAUGUUGAACCAUUACGAAUGUGUACGGUCUAGACUCUAUAAUAUAGACCGUAAUAAAACUUAAAUAUUGACACUGUACGCAUGUGUAGUACGAUUCAGAUGUGUACAUAAAGCAGCAUCGAAGGUCAGUGGACUUGCUGUGGAACGUGCAGGCUCGUUUGUACUGAUAGGCGCUUUCCCGUAAAUGAUCUGGUAUAUAUUAUUGUGGUAAUUAAUUAGUUCAUACUAAUUGUCUAACGAGUAAUGUGUACCAUUAUAUUUCGGAUAUUAUUGCAAAUAUUUUAUAAUGAGUUAGGGAAAUAAGUAUCUUAAACAAUAUUUAAAAAUACUGUUAUAAACAAUGUAACAAUGAUUUUCGUUUGUUAAUGUAAGAACCAUAGUUUCCAGAUUUACGUCAUGUAUUUUGUCUACUUGGAGCGGGGUGUUUAUAACCAGCUGGAAUGACCGCUGCAUUCAUGUUUUAAUGUAGGACACAGUUCUAGAGACAUACAUUUAAACAUAUCGUACUACCAACCGCGAUAUUGAACAAAAUAUUGGGAUAAAAUUUUUGUAGGGACUUUAAGACAGACGGUAUUAAAAAUUUUGUAACGCGAUCUGGAAAAUGGCUAUCAAUUUUAUGACAUUUUAUAAAUAUCUGUAUUUCUUAUUGUUCUCAACGUCAGCAUUUUAGUUGUUGAUAUACAUACAUCGAUGUCUGAAUAGACUGUCCAAUUUAAAUAAUAUAUUUUACAGUUACAUUGCAGGCCCGGUUCU